rnacentral:rRNA from 1 species
UUGAAGGCAAUGUGGGUUUUAAUUUCGAAGCAACGCGCAGGAACCCUUACCCAGCGUUUUGACAUUCCCGGUCGCGGGAUCCAGAGAUGGAUCCCUUCAGUUCGGCUGGACCGGUGACAGGUGCUGCAUGGCUGUCGUCAGCUCGUGUCGUGAGAUGUUGGGUUAAGUCCCGCAACGAGCGCAACCCUCGUCUUUAGUUGCUACCAUUUAGUUGGGCACUCUAAAGAAACCGCCGGUGAUAAGCCGGAGGAAGGUGGGGAUGACGUCAAGUCCUCAUGGCCCUUACGCGCUGGGCUACACACGUGCUACAAUGGCGGUGACAAUGGGCUGCAACCCUGCGAAGGGAAGCUAAUCCCAAAAAGCCGUCUCAGUUCGGAUUGUUCUCUGCAACUCGAGAGCAUGAAGGCGGAAUCGCUAGUAAUCGCGGAUCAGCAUGCCGCGGUGAAUACGUUCCCAGGCCUUGUACACACCGCCCGUCACACCAUGGGAGUUGGAUUGACCCGAAGGUGGUGAGCUAACCCGCAAGGGAGGCAGCCAACCACGGUCGGUUCAGCGACUGGGGUGAAGUCGUAACAAGGUAACCGUAA